UAGCGGCGAGCGAAGCGGGAAGAGCUCAAAUUUGUAAUCUGGCGCUUUCGGCGUCCGAGUUGUAAUCUCUAGAAGUGUUUUCCGCGUUGGACCGCACACAAGUCUGUUGGAAUACAGCGGCACAGUGGUGAGACCCCCGUUCACGGUGCGGAUGCCCAAUGCUUUGUGAUACACUUUCGAAGAGUCGAGUUGUUUGGGAAUGCAGCUCAAAUUGGGUGGUAAAUUCCAUCUAAAGCUAAAUAUUGGCGAGAGACCGAUAGCGAACAAGUACCGUGAGGGAAAGAUGAAAAGCACUUUGGAAAGAGAGUUAACAGUACGUGAAAUUGUUGGAAGGGAAACGCUUGAAGUCAGACUUGCUAUUCGGGCAACCGAGUUGCAGGCCAGCAUCAGUUUUUCGGGGCGGAAAAUCACGGUUAGAAGGUAGCAGUUUCGGCUGUGUUAUAGCUUUCCGUUGGAUACGUCCUGGGGGACUGAGGAACGCAGCGUGCUUUUUGCAGGAGCUUCGGCUUCAUCACGCUUAGGAUGCUGGUGUAAUGGCUUUAAACGACCCGUCUUGA
rnacentral:rRNA from 1 species